rnacentral:tRNA from 1 species
GCCUGGGUGGCUCAGUGGUUGAGCAUCUGCCUUUGGCUCAGGUCAUGUUCCCAGGGUCCUGGGAUCGAGUCCCGCAUCAGGCU